UACGUAGGGGGCAAGCGUUGUCCGGAAUUAUUGGGCGUAAAGCGCGCGCAGUCGGCUUCUUAAGUCUGAUGUGAAAGCCCACGGCUCAACCGUGGAGGGUCAUUGGAAACUGGGGAGCUUGAGUGCAGAAGAGGAGAGUGGAAUUCCACGUGUAGCGGUGAAAUGCGUAGAGAUGUGGAGGAACACCAGUGGCGAAAGCGGCUCUCUGGUCUGUAACUGACGCUGAGGCGCGAAAGCGUGGGGAGCAAACAGG
rnacentral:rRNA from 1 species